GUGGGCAGAUUCUAACGCCUGGGGGCAUAGUCUGUUUUCCUGAUUGUGUGUAGACUCUGCCCCAUUCAGAGAAAAAGAACAAAAUAAUCUGUGUAUUGAUUGGAAAAGUGAGUGGGAUGUGGGGGAGUAAGUGAAAGCACCUCUCUACCCCCAAGUCUGCAGUGUACAAAGCCGUCUCUUUGCUCAAGGACUGCGAAAUGCUUGCUGGUGUCAUCCCUCUUCCACAGUUCAGAAGCCAAGUCUGAGACCUACAGCAAUUUGGAAAGCCAUUCCUAUCUUCCGGCAUGGAUCUCCCCUCGUGGCAGCUGGAGGAAAUAUAGGAACUCCGUGACCUGGAAAAUGUGGGACAACUGACGCAAGGUCACCCAGCAAGUGUCCAGAUAAGGCGUGAAGGGAAGCGAGGUUUUAGCUGACAACGCUCUAUGCCAUUAUGGGAAUGGGA